rnacentral:rRNA from 1 species
UACAGAGGGUGCGAGCGUUAAUCGGAAUUACUGGGCGUAAAGCGUGCGUAGGUGGUUUGUUAAGUCUGAUGUGAAAGCCCCGGGCUCAACCUGGGAAUGGCCGUUGAAACUGGCGAACUGGAGUGUGGCAGAGGGGGGUGGAAUUCCGCGUGUAGCAGUGAAAUGCGUAGAGAUGCGGAGGAACACCGAUGGCGAAGGCAGCCCCCUGGGCUGACACUGACGCUCAGGCACGAAAGCGUGGGGAGCAAACAGG